rnacentral:lncRNA from 10 species
GCGAGGUAGUAGUGGUAAUCAGUGGGGUAUGUUUCUAGGGUGUGCAAGGCUUUGGUCUUUCGCUCUUUGCAGUAAGUGUUGUUGCUGCUUUCUGUUUGGGUUCAUGCUGCUUUUAUGAGAUGUAACACCGUGAAGGUGUGCAGCUUCAUUCCUGAAGCCAGUGAGACCACAAACCCAUCGGGAGAAACGAGCAACUCCAGACAUGCCGCCUAAAGAGCUGUAACACUCACCGCGAAGGUCUGCAGCUUCCCUCCUGAUGUAACAAGAUCACGAACCCACCAGAAGGAAGAAACUCCGAACACAUCCGAAUAUCAGAGGGGACAAACUCUGAACACGCCGCCUUUAAGAACUGUAACAACGGGAGGGUCCGUGGCUUCAUUGUUGAAGUCAGACCAAGAACCCACCAAUUCCGGACACAGAAGCACACAUUUACAAACAACAAACAUGUUCAUUAUAAAUUGUAACAUCUAUACCUGUGCGUGAUGAAGCAACUACAGGAAAACCUCCGAUUAGUAACCAAGGUUUGCUCACUCCAGCAACUUGAAAUUGAGCAUUUUAUAGCAGCAGGUGACUUCAGAGACUGGCCAAGCAAAAACCUCAUCUAAUAGGGUCUCACUUUGUCACCCUAGGCUGGAGUGCAAUGGUGCCAACACAACCAACUGCAUCCUUGAUUUCCUGGGCUCCAGUGAUCCUCCUACCUCAACCUCUGGAGUAGCUGGGACUACAGGUGCACCACCAGACUUGGCUGAUUAUUAUUAUUAUUUUGGUAGAGACAAGGUUUUUCCAUGUUGCCCAGCCUGGUCUCAAACUCCUGACCUCGAGCAAUCCACCUGUCUUGGCCUCCCAAAGUGCUGGGAUUAUAGGCAUGAGCCACCGUGCCCCGCCUGUGACCCUUUUAUUAUUGCUUGGUCAAUGGAAGAGGAAGAAAAUGUUAUUAUCUGCCAAUAUAUCUUGUAGAUUCAAAAAUAGUAUUUAAGUACACUAUUGACUAUUGCCCUGUAAACAAUGAACAGGUCUCUAUUUCAAGGAGAAUUGUCCACAGCUGUGUCAACAAAGGUUUCAUGCUCCCUGUCCACCAGUGGGAGUGCACAUGAUAUUUUGAAAAACAGGUGUAAAAUCCCCAUUGCUCAGUCUAAGAGUGGUUGUGGAUUUCUCCUGCCUCCUUCAGAGCUGGAAUCAUAUCAGGUGGAAAUGGUCCUGGCUGACAUCUCACCAAGCACCUACUCUGAAGGCUGUGAUGAGGUGGGUGGAGGAGUGGAACCUGCAGAAUGGGAAUUUUCUUUUUUUUCCUUUUUUUUUUUGAGACC